rnacentral:tRNA from 1 species
GGGCCCGUAGCUUAGCCUGGUGGAGCGCACGACUGAUAAUCGUGAGGUCCGGAGUUCAAAUCUUCGCGGGCCCA